ACCUGGUCUUGACAUACUAAGAACUUUCCAGAGAUGGAUUGGUUCCUUCGGGAACUUACAUACAGGUGCUGCAUGGCUGUCGUCAGCUCGUGUCGUGAGAUGUUGGGUUAAGUCCCGCAACGAGCGCAACCCUUUUCCUUAUUUGCCAGCGGGUUAAGCCGGGAACUUUAAGGAUACUGCCAGUGACAAACUGGAGGAAGGCGGGGAGGACGUCAAGUCAUCAUGGCCCUUACGACCAGGGCUACACACGUGCUACAAUGGUCGGUACAAAGGGUUGCUACCCCGCGAGAGGAUGCUAAUCUCACAAAACCGAUCGUAGUUCGGACGGAGUGGGCACCUCGCCCG
rnacentral:rRNA from 1 species